GACGAACGCUGGCGGCGUGCCUAAUACAUGCAAGUCGAGCGGAAUGAAGAAGAAGCUUGCUUCUUCUGAUUUUAGCGGCGGACGGGUGAGUAACACGUGGGCAACCUACCUUGUAGAUUGGGAUAACUCCGGGAAACCGGGGCUAAUACCGAAUAAUCCAUUUUGCUUCAUGGCGAGAUGUUAAAAGGCGGCUUCGGCUGUCACUACGAGAUGGGCCCGCGGCGCAUUAGCUAGUUGGUAGGGUAAUGGCCUACCAAGGCGACGAUGCGUAGCCGACCUGAGAGGGUGAUCGGCCACACUGGGACUGAGACACGGCCCAGACUCCUACGGGAGGCAGCAGUAGGGAAUCUUCCGCAAUGGACGAAAGUCUGACGGAGCAACGCCGCGUGAGUGAAGAAGGUUUUCGGAUCGUAAAACUCUGUUGUUAGGGAAGAAUACGUACGAGAGUAACUGCUCGUACCUUGACGGUACCUAACCAGAAAGCCACGGCUAACUACGUG
rnacentral:rRNA from 1 species